GAUAAGGAAUGGAGGUUUAGCUUCUUAGUAUAUAUGGUGAAAUUUUGAUGCUAAAAGUUGGCAUACUCCGAUGAAGUUAUAUAGGAAACUUAUGAACCGACCCUCUAACUGUGUAGCUAAUAAUUAAUGUAUUAGCAAAUUAGUAGAAUGCUGGUAGCACAUUAGUGAGAUGGUUUAUGAAAGCUUGAGAAACUCUGGGUUAGUUUUGGCGUUAGACUAGAGGAAUGAGCUAUUGGGAAUUUGUGAUGGUACGAGUCAUGAAAAGAACCACUUUGCAAAAUGCAAGUGAAAGUUUACACACGUAGGCUCCUUCCCUCAACUGUUGAUCCUAUGUGUUAUACUAUGAUUGGAUCGCUGACAACGUGUCACUCUAUGAUUGUGCAUAUAUAUUAAGUAUGAGUUCUUUUAAUGCAAUAGAGAAUACGGGUCGAAUAGGGUAGUUGUUUCGGGUAAUAUAACAUAUGUGUCACUCUAUGAUUUGAGGGUUUUGCAACUGUCUAUCCAUAAUUGCGCAUAUAAACUGAUGAUGAGGUGGCAAUUAAUAUAAAGAGUAGACUAGAAGCUUCGUGUAUAAAGCAUAUGUGUCACUCUAUAAUUGGACACUUGCAACGGGUCACUUUAUGAUUGAACGUAUUAACGCAGGAUUAGUUGGCAAUUUCUUGUAAUAGAAAAUCCAGGUGGAGUAGGCUUGCUGUUUCGUGGAUAAUCCAUACGUGUCACUCUAUAAUUGGACAACUUGCAACGUGUCACUUUAUGAUUGGACGUAUUAGCGCAGGAUGCGUUGGCACUUUCUUGUAAUAGAAAAUCCAGCUGGAGUACGCUUGCUGUUUCGUGGAUGAUCCAUACGUGUCACUCUAUGAUUGGACGGCUAGCAACGUGUCACUCUAUGAUUGGGUGUGCACACUCAGGAUGCGUUGGCAGUUUAUUGUAGAUGAGAAUCUGGGUGGAAUAGGCUAGUUUUUUGUGCUAUAAAACAUGAAAUGAGGGUGCCUUUCAAGAUAUAGAGAGGUGGAGUGCAGAGUAACACAUAGAGGUGGACAUCCCAAGACAGAUCACUUUCAAUGAUCGGGGAGCUUUGUGCUUUCAGAGAAAAGAGAGCUUCAAAAGCGUAGAUCUUCAGGAUUUUGGGAAGUUCAUCAUCAACCUUGGUGCCUGAGUGUGAUAUAUUUACCAUGCGACAACUUUAAUCAAGGGAGUUCUACUAUUAGCCCAAAGAUCCGGAGAAGAAGGAAUUAAAAAGUAUGCAGCUAAGAUUAGACCCUACCUUUUUGUAUAUUUCAUUAAACGACUGCAGUCAAGUGUUGACUUCUAUAUGUGAUGAGGGGGCUUCAGUUCGCGAACGGGCUUCAGUUCGUGAAAGGGAACCCUCCUGGUGCAACAGAGUCCAAACCAAAGGAAAGGGAGGAAGAGAAAUAUGGAUAUGACUAUCUCUCGUAAAAAGAUAAAUAUUGGUCAAUCUAUUUCCCAUUAAUGAGAUUACAUGGCCUGAAUUAGCACUUCUUUGUUUGAGGAUGGUACUCUUGAAGAACUGGAUAUCUCAAGCCGUGAAUUUCUUGUAGUGUUCCUUUGCUUGAAGGGUGACGGCGAUCCACUUUGUCAUUCUCUUAGAGGAAUGGCUGCAAUUUAGGCUGAUGCAGUGGCAUAUUGUUUACUCUCAGACACUUUGGCUGGACACGUCGGCCGGAGGUCCAGUUGGAAGUAGUCUCCCUAUCCGCGGAUAGGAAUAAGAAUGUGUACAUCUCACCUCCCCACCCUCUUCUUAUUGCGGGUUUGGACAUUGUUGCUUAUCCGGGGCAAAUGAAGACAGUUCAGUUUUAAAUGCCCAAACCACUACUUGCUAGCAUGAAAAACUGCAAUGAGAAUCUGGUAUCACAACAAGAACAGCCGAACUGCCUGAUUCUAUGUAUGGUCAUGCUGAAUACAAAGCCGGAGACAACACUGAUAUCCUGGUUUCUUGAUAGAAAGUGAAAUUGCAAAAGCUCCAACCCAAAUGGUAAAUGCUGAACCCUGAUCCAAAAGUAGGCGGUCAAAGAGAUAGAGCUCGAGUCAAGAUCAUGUACGUUCAGUGGAUGCUGUUUUGACAAGACACCUGAAGGGAUGAUUGACCUGGAAUUGACUUCUCCAAAGCAUGCGAGAAAGUAGGACAGCAAAAGGCGAAGGAUAAGCCUUUAGCUACUACCGCAACAUCAGAUCUACUAGUGCUUCAGAUCUUCAGAUGUGAAUCUUCGUCAAGAAACUGAAUAACCAAUAUUAAAUUUUAUAAUUUGAUAUUGUGGCAUGUGGUCAAAGAAAUAUCAUAAAUAGCAGUGAGCAUAACUCCAGAAUCAGACUAUUGGUUCGCGUGAUUAAAGUUAAUCUUGAAUCGGGGAGCUCAGGUUUUUCAAGGUUCAAACUCCAUGACCAAAUCAUUAGAGAGUAGAGCCGGUAUCUUGUUAACCUUAUGCUCAUCAUCAUGUGAGAUGUGACGAGGUUAUUUCUAACUCAGAAUCGAGUUAACUAAAAAAGUCCCCGUAAAACAGAACCAGGAGUGGGAUUAUAUUUGUGCAUGCAUUUUGUCUCAAAGUGAAGUGUCUGGUGUGCAUAUGUUAUUGUGUCAUCAUAUGUAAGACAAUUAGUGUUGUAUUGUACCUUGAAUUUUUUGGACAUAUUUGUUGGCCAUGUAUCUGUAGAAAGUUUGUUAUCUGCAUACUAUUGUCGUGAACGUUUUCAGCGUUCAUCAUCAUCUAUUGACCAACUUGUGACCAUGCGACAGUAUACGUCAAUGAGUGGUGUUCGUCAUGCUUGACACUUGGGUUCUUGUUUUGUACAGUAAUAUAUAUCAGUACAUUUACAACGGUCAUUAAAUUAA